ensembl:lncRNA
CCACUGCAAGCACCACAGACCCCUCCGCGGUACAACCAGCAACCGUACCAUGGAACAAAGCCAAAACGAUACCAAGAUAACACCGAUUAUCGAGAUUAUGCGCCAAAACAAAACUUUCGGCACCAAAAUUCUCGCCCUAACUCACACCACCAAGAUCGCCGACCGCGACCACCGUGGUAUGAUUACAACCGUUCUGACCAGUGGAGAAGACACGACAACGACCGCCGAACACCUCCACCCAGAAACGAACACUCAAAACCUUGGUAUCACAAAAAUAAUCAAAGGUCAUACGACCAGCAGCCAAACAGAUCAAGAUCAGACGAUGAAUCUAAUGAAAUAGAAAGUUUAGAAAUUAGGUUAGCUAACCAAAUCACUAAAGAAAUGGCAUCCAUCAAGAAAAUGUUCGAACAAAUGAUAGAUGACAAAACCUAUGAUAAACCAAAACAAUCAAAACGAAAAAAUGACGAUGAUUCGCCUCGUGCUGUCUUGCUGGUGCAAACACAUGCACCAAACCACCAUUUUUCCAAUGGACAUCAGUCCAUUGAAGGUGAACCACCAAUUCACCAACUCUUGUGCAACCUCUACGAAAGAGGAAUCGCCCGAAAGUUUUACAUUUCAGCCACUUUUGAAGGUGUGCUUACCAAUGAAGCCUUACUCGACACUGGAGCAGACAUAUCCCUCAUGUCCGCCCAACUGUUCAAUGAGCUGCGCAGCCUAGCCAAGGAGACCAACCUAAGGUUGAUACUCCAAGACUGCCACAUUGACAUUGAACCUUAUGGCGACAACGCCACCGUUAUCACGAAGAAGGCUCUCGUACAAGUCACCAUAGGUCAGCUGACUCUGGUGCACCCGUUUUACGUCUCAGACCACAACCAGAUUCCUCUUCUCAUAGGUAUCGAUCUGCUCAACCGAUUUGAGCCCCUGAUCGACUUUCAAAACCUGAAAAUCUGGGCACAAGUCUGGCAGCCACUGCCGCUGCAGCAUGACUCACCCGACGGAGUUCAGUGCUAUCAACUGAACCACCCUCAGGCUCUAAAAGAGACCCCCAGCCGGUCUCCGGCCCAAAUGCGUCCGGCUACUAAAACCGUAGACCGUACUCUAACGACCAAAAGUACCUCCCUGUGCGCGUUAACCAACAACCCCCUCGCUACCGAUGGUCUUGCGUUUCAGAACCGACACAUCAACGAUGCUCUCGCCA